ACGGAAGGCAGCAGUGAGGAAUAUUGGUCAAUGGGCGGAAGCCUGAACCAGCCAAGUCGCGUGCGGGACGAAGGCCCUACGGGUCGUAAACCGCUUUUGUACGGGAAUAAAAAACUCCACGCGUGGGGUCUUGUAGGUACCCUAUGAAUAAGCAUCGGCUAACUCCGUGCCAGCAGCCGCGGUAAUACGGAGAAUGCGAGCGUUAUCCGGAUUUAUUGGGUUUAAAGGGUGCGCAGGCGGCACGUUAAGUCAGCGGUGAAAUGCAGGGGCUCAACCCCGGCACUGCCGUUGAAACUGGCGAGCUCGAGUACGGAUGAAGUCGGCGGAAUGUGAUGUGUAGCGGUGAAAUGCUUAGAUAUGUCACAGAACACCGAUUGCGAAGGCAGCUGACUAAUCCGCAACUGACGCUCAGGCACGAAAGCGUGGGGAUCGAACAGGAUUAGAUACCCUGGUA
rnacentral:rRNA from 1 species